GGUAGGGUGGCUGAGGGUUUAAGCGAUGGAUUGUAGCUCCACAAACAGAGGUUUAAUUCCUCUCCUUAUCA
rnacentral:tRNA from 1 species